AAGGGAAGCACCCUGUAGAGGAGGGAGUGGUCCCUGGCUAGGGCUCCACCCCCAUGGACCUAGGUGAGGACAGGCACUUCUGCCUUCCUUCCCAAGGGUUGCAUUUUUCAAGACUACCCUGGCCAGCCACGCUCCUAUCCUGGGCCUAUAGAAACCCGAGACCCUAGCAAGGCAGAGACAGAAGCUGCUGGCCCGCCAGAGGAACACAUAGAUGGAAGAAGACAAGCAGCUGGACAUGGAGAAGACAUUGGGAGCACACUAGGGGAAGAGCACACAGACAAACGCCAGCAUGCUGAGAUGAGGUUGCACCAUGUUGGCCAGGCACCAGCCUCAAACUCCUGGACUCAAGUAAUCCACUGGCGUUCGUCUUCCCUGAGUACUGGGAUUGCAGGUGUGAGCUACUGCGCCCGACCUCAGCAAGCAUUUUUGAACUGUCAUGUAUUGAGCUUAGCAUUUACUAUGCAAUAUAAUAUAUAUUAUAUAAUAUAUUAUAUACAAUUCUAUAUUUUAUAUAGAAUUAUAAUAUAUAAUAUAUAUAGUGCAGUGAAUAUAUCUAUAUCUAUCUAUAUAUAUCUAUAUAUCUAUAUCUAUAUCUAUAUAUAUAUAUAAAACUGAGAGUAGCCAAAGACUGGCCAGAUGAGUCUUCCUGAGUUGGUAUUGCAGAUGAAGGUUUUGUAUGAUUUUAAAAUAUCAUUAUUAUUUAGUUUCUAGGACUGUCUUGGCUGAUACUGACUUAGCAAUAGAAAUAAUAAUAGUGCCAAACAACGCAAUCUAAAUAUAUUUAGUUUAAUAAUAUUACCUAAGUGUGCUUUUUUGUCAUUUUAAUUGAGAUGAAAUUACAAAUAUCAAUACAUUUUUAAUUACUAUAUAUUUGUUUUUAGUUCUAGAAUUCAAAAAUUAUGAAAAGCCUAUUCACUUCUGAUUCAAUAUUGGUAAUUUAUUAUUAUCAUCAUUUUUUAGAGAUAGGAUCUUGCUCUGUUGCUCAGGCUGGAGUAUAAUGGUACAAUCAUUGUUCACUGCAGCCUCGAAUUCCUAGACUCAGGCAAUGCUCCAAUCUUAGUCUCCCAAAGUGCUGGAAUUACAG
rnacentral:lncRNA from 10 species